rnacentral:rRNA from 1 species
UACGAGGGGGCGAGCGUUGUUCGGAAUUAUUGGCGUAAAGGGUGCGUAGGCGGUUCCGCAAGUCCUGUGUGAAAUCUUCGGGCUCAACUCGAAGUCUGCACGGGAAACUGCGGGGCUUGAGUGUGGGAGAGGUGAGGUGGUAAAUUUCCCGGUGUAGCGGUGAAAUUCGUAGAUAUCAAGCGGAACACCGGUGGCGAAGGCGGCCUUCUGGACAGUGACUGACGCUGGAGAAUGGCGAAAGCGUGGGGAGCAAACAGG